GACGAACGCUGGCGGCGCGCCUAACACAUGCAAGUCGAACGGAGUUUCCCCUUCGGGGGGAGCUUAGUGGCGGACGGGUGAGUAACACGUGAGGAACCUGCCUUUGAGAGCGGGAUACCGUCUGGAAACGGACGUUAAUACCGCAUAAUGCAGCGAGGCCACAUGGCCAUGCUGCCAAAGAUUUAUCGCUCAAAGAUGGCCUCGCGCCUGAUUAGAUAGUUGGCGGGGUAACGGCCCACCAAGUCUGCGAUCAGUAGCCGGACUGAGAGGUCGAACGGCCACAUUGGGACUGAGAUACGGCCCAGACUCCUACGGGAGGCAGCAGUGGGGAUAUUGCACAAUGGGCGAAAGCCUGAUGCAGCGACGCCGCGUGAGGGAAGACGGUUUUCGGAUUUGUAAACCUCUGUCUUCGGGACGAAACAAGACGGUACCCGAGGAGGAAGCCACGGCUAACUACGUGCCAGCAGCCGCGGUAAAACGUGCGUG
rnacentral:rRNA from 1 species